UACGUAGGGUGCAAGCGUUGUCCGGAAUUAUUGGGCGUAAAGAGCUCGUAGGCGGUCUGUCGCGUCGGCUGUGAAAACCCGAGGCUCAACCUCGGGCCUGCAGUCGAUACGGGCAAACUAGAGUACUGCAGGGGAGACUGGAAUUCCUGGUGUAGCGGUGAAAGUGCGCAGAUAUCAGGAGGAACACCGGUGGCGAAGGCGGGUCUCUGGGCCGAUACUGACGCUGAGGAGCGAAAGCGUGGGGAGCGAACAGG
rnacentral:rRNA from 1 species